rnacentral:rRNA from 1 species
AUUGCCUUAGUAGCGGCGAGUGAAGCGGCAAAAGCUCAAAUUUGAAAUCUGGCGCCUUCGGUGUCCGAGUUGUAAUUUGAAGAUUGUAACCUUGGGGUUGGCUCUUGUCUAUGUUUCUUGGAACAGGACGUCACAGAGGGUGAGAAUCCCGUGCGAUGAGAUGCCCAAUUCUAUGUAAGGUGCUUUCGAAGAGUCGAGUUGUUUGGGAAUGCAGCUCUAAGUGGGUGGUAAAUUCCAUCUAAAGCUAAAUAUUGGCGAGAGACCGAUAGCGAACAAGUACAGUGAUGGAAAGAUGAAAAGAACUUUGAAAAGAGAGUGAAAAAGUACGUGAAAUUGUUGAAAGGGAAGGGUUUGAGAUCAGACUCGAUAUUUUGUGAGCCUUGCCUUCGUGGCGGGGUGACCCGCAGCUUAUCGGGCCAGCAUCGGUUUGGGCGGUAGGAUAAUGGCGUAGGAAUGUGACUUUACUUCGGUGAAGUGUUAUAGCCUGCGUUGAUGCUGCCUGCCUAGACCGAGGACUGCGAUUUUAUCAAGGAUGC